rnacentral:rRNA from 1 species
UACGUAGGGGGCAAGCGUUGUCCGGAAUCAUUGGGCGUAAAGAGCGUGUAGGCGGCCCGAUAAGUCCGCUGUGAAAGUCCAGGGCUCAACCCUGGGAUGCCGGUGGAUACUGUCGGGCUCGAGUCCGGAAGAGGAGUGUGGAAUUUACGGUGUAGCGGUGAAAUGCGUAGAUAUCGUAAGGAAGACCAGUGGCGAAGGCGGGUCUCUGGACAGUUCCUGACGCUGAGGCACGAAGGCCAGGGGAGCAAACGGG